rnacentral:rRNA from 1 species
UGAGUAACACGUAUCCACCUGCCGUCUACUCUUGGACAGCCUUCUGAAAGGAAGAUUAAUACAAGAUGGCAUCAUGAGUCCGCAUGUUCACAUGAUUAAAGGUAUUCCGGUAGACGAUGGGGAUGCGUUCCAUUAGAUAGUAGGCGGGGUAACGGCCCACCUAGUCUUCGAUGGAUAGGGGUUCUGAGAGGAAGGUCCCCCACAUUGGAACUGAGACACGGUCCAA